AAGAAGUCUGAAUGAAGCCGAAGCCUGAAUGAAGAAGAAGAAGUCUGAAUGAAGCCUGAAUGUGGUUCGAACGUCAUCAGCCACGUGUUUUUUCCGAUUUGAAGCAAGGUCCGGCACAGUGCUUCAGAAAAAAAAAAUAAAUAAACAUCCCUUUUCGAGUUUGAACGAUGCUUCGGUUCCUUGGUAUCAGAGGGAACAUCACUACUUAGCUGUUACUCAGAGGUGGCAGUGGUCAGAUGGUCACCAACAAUGGGAAACACAUGCUUUACAUUUUCCCUCUUCAAGAAGAAAUUGAGACUACAUCCCUUCUCUAUCAAGCUGUGGAAGGUGAGUGCACCUGAAGACGUCAACUCCAGAACUUGGAGGCACGUGGCCUAAAACAUUGUGGGCUCACUCUACAAGCCUCCAGACAACAAUUCAGAUGCCACUCCAUCCCAGCUCAGCCAACUGCUGAAGUUUUGGCCUAAGAUCCCCAUCUUCAUCAAGGAAAGACAAAAUGCUCCCAUACCUGCGACUAGCCAUGGCUCUAACACACCCUGUUCAUGUGAACACAGCUGUGUUUUCUCUUUGCAUGUGUUCCUAAACCCGACUGGAAUGGUGUCGUUUGUGCCAGAUGGGUAUGGCACCGUUCAGUUUAACAGCACUACAUAACAAGCUGCAUAACAGCAUGGCCAAAUGGAAUCCACCCUAUCGUUUCACUGCAGCUCUAACGUUGUAUCGAUAUCGGAGGAAUCAUUCCUUUACAAGACAGUAACACUAUUGUGAUUAAACUUUAAUUUGUGGUUCACAUGUGUGCUGAACUGGGGGGGUGGAUACUCCAUUUAGAUCACAGAUCAACUGUGAUUCCUCCCACCCCUCCACAUUAUUAGAGUAUAAUAUGGAUCCAGCUGUUAUAUAGUACCUUAAUAUACCUGGGUACAGUGGUUGAAUAUGUUUUCAGAUCCUAAUUUACUGUAGCUGGACCACAUUGUAAAAUAAGUUGUUUUUUUAAAUACUCCACCGGAUUGACUACUUAAGGAUACAAGCUGGAUAUUGUAGUGUUAAUACUAUAUAUUAGCAAACAACUGCCUGUUUGCACACUGGUCAGACACAAAAGCUACCGAGGGACCUGUUUGGUUCUUUAGCUUCUAAAUGCUCCACUGUGUUCACCACCUAGUCACUUAUUCAUUCUGCUGGAUCCCUUACCGCUGUUUUUAACAUUAAUGAAUUGAUUACUUGGGAACUCAAAAAGCUCUCUUUCUGUUCUGUUUCAUAUUCUGUGCACCCCUUCCUUUCUCUGUAUUAGUCCAAAAUUGUAUUUCACGCAGCAUAUACUGUAUGUUCUUUCUCUUGAAGUCCCCCACUUUGUCCUUCACUUUCCAUUUCUCUCAUUGUAGAUCUUCCUACCCUGCUUUCUUAUUCAGCACAUCCUGCUCACAUUUUGUGUCUCCCUAUUUGUAAUUUUCUUUCUCUUGUAGAUGUGUGUGUGUGU